CAGCCGCCGCGGUAAUACGUAGGUGGCAAGCGUUGUCCGGAAUUAUUGGGCGUAAAGGGCUCGCAGGCGGUUUCUUAAGUCUGAUGUGAAAGCCCCCGGCUCAACCGGGGAGGGCCAUUGGAAACUGGGAAACUUGAGUGCAGAAGAGGAGAGUGGAAUUCCACGUGUAGCGGUGAAAUGCGUAGAGAUGUGGAGGAACACCAGUGGCGAAGGCGACUCUCUGGUCUGUAACUGACGCUGAGGAGCGAAAGCGUGGGGAGCGAACAGGAUUAGAUACCCCUGUAGUCCAUGUCUCUUAUAC
rnacentral:rRNA from 1 species